rnacentral:rRNA from 1 species
GACAGAGGGUGCAAACGUUGUUCGGAAUUACUGGGCGUAAAGCGCGUGUAGGCGGCCCUGCAAGUCGGGUGUGAAAUCCCACGGCUCAACCGUGGAAGUGCACUCGAAACUGCAGGGCUAGAGUCCUGGAGAGGAAGGUGGAAUGCUUGGUGUAGAGGUGAAAUUCGUAGAUAUCAAGCGGAACACCGGUGGCGAAGGCGGCCUUCUGGACAGUGACUGACGCUGAGACGCGAAAGCGGUGGGGAGCAAACAGGGAU